GACGAACGCUGGCGGCGUGCUUAACACAUGCAAGUCGAACGCUGAAGCUUGGUGCUUGCACUGGGUGGAUGAGUGGCGAACGGGUGAGUAAUAAGUGAGUAACCUGCCCUUGACUCUGGGAUAAGCCUGGGAAACUGGGUCUAAUACUGGAUACGACAUGUCACCGCAUGGUGGUGUGUGGAAAGGGUUUUUGUGGUUUUGGAUGGGCUCACGGCCUAUCAGCUUGUUGGGGGGGUAAGGGCUCACCAAGGCGACGACGGGUAGCCGGCCUGGGAGGGUGAACGGCCACACUGAGACUGAGACAAGGCCCAGACUCGUACGGGAGGCAGCAGUGGGGAAUAUUGCACAAUGGGCGGAAGCCUGAUGCAGCGACGCCGCGUGAGGGAUGACGGCCUUCGGGUUGUAAACCUCUUUCAGCUCAGAAGAAGCGAAAGUGACGGUACGUGCAGAAGAAGCGCCGGCUAACUACGUG
rnacentral:rRNA from 1 species